rnacentral:ncRNA from 1 species
AUAAGUGUCGAACAAAAGAGGAGUAACAUAAAAAAGACUUUUCAGAGAGCUGAUGGGACUGCGAAUCAGUAGGGAUUUUUAUGCGAAUGGGCUUUUGGACUGAAGUUUUGAAUGAAAAAGUAGGAACUUUCGGGAACUCCCGUUAUAGAGUAAGGUCGUUGAUGGACGGCUGAGAGAGAAAUACCUUUUUUAGGUAUCUAUUAUUGAGGUGGCACCGUGGAUUAUCCGCCCUCAAG